UACGUAGGGUGCAAGCGUUGUCCGGAAUUAUUGGGCGUAAAGAGCUCGUAGGCGGUUCGUCGCGUCGGCUGUGAAAACCUGAGGCUCAACCUCGAGACGCCGGUGGAAACCAUCAGGCUAGAGUCCGGAAGAGGAGAGUGGAAUUCCUGGUGUAGCGGUGAAAUGCGCAGAUAUCAGGAAGAACACCCGUGGCUAAGGCGGCUCUCUAGUACGGUACUGACGCUGAGACGCGAAAGCGUGGGGAGCGAACAGG
rnacentral:rRNA from 1 species